rnacentral:misc_RNA from 1 species
AAGGAGUCUAACAUGCUUGCGAGUAUUGGGGUGUCAAACCCGGAUGCGUAAUGAAAGUGAAUGGAGGCAGGAAGCGCAAGCUGCACCAUCGACCGAUCUGGAUUUUCUAAGAUGGAUUUGAGUAAGAGCACGUAUGUUGGGACCCGAAAGAUGGUGAACUAUGCCUGAAUAGGGCGAAGCCAGAGGAAACUCUGGUGGAGGCUCGUAGCGGUUCUGACGUGCAAAUCGAUCGUGAAAUUUGGGUAUAGGGGCGAAAGACUAAUCGAACCAUCUAGUAGCUGGUUCCUGC